rnacentral:rRNA from 1 species
CGGGUGAGUAACACGUAUCCAACCUGCCGUCUACUCUUGGCCAGCCUUCUGAAAGGAAGAUUAAUCCAGGAUGGCAUCAUGAGUUCACAUGUCCGCAUGAUUAAAGGUAUUUUCCGGUAGACGAUGGGGAUGCGUUCCAUUAGAUAGUAGGCGGGGUAACGGCCCACCUAGUCAACGAUGGAUAGAGGUUCUGAGAGGAAGGUCCCCCACAUUGGAACUGAGACACGGUCCAA